GGUACUGAUUUCUCUAGUUUCUCCACAGCACAAAUGGCCCAAACUUCUCUACCCUCAUUUGUAGAUUUAGUCUCAAAGGCCGAAAGUUUUGAAAUUUUUCAGAAAUCCCUUGACUCAUCUUCUCCAGCAGCGACAGCCUUUACUGUCACAAAAAAUUCCACCCAUCGUGGUGGCUCUUCUCGUAGUCAUCGGGGUCGCUUCGGUGGGC
rnacentral:lncRNA from 1 species